rnacentral:rRNA from 1 species
UACGAAGGGGGCUAGCGUUGCUCGGAAUUACUGGGCGUAAAGGGCGCGUAGGCGGACAGUUUAGUCAGAGGUGAAAGCCCAGGGCUCAACCUUGGAAUUGCCUUUGAUACUGGCUGUCUUGAGUCCGGGAGAGGUGAGUGGAACUGCGAGUGUAGAGGUGAAAUUCGUAGAUAUUCGCAAGAACACCAGUGGCGAAGGCGGCUCACUGGCCCGGUACUGACGCUGAGGUGCGAAAGCGUGGGGAGCAAACAGGG